rnacentral:rRNA from 1 species
GAAACUUAAAGGAAUUGGCGGGGGAGCACAGCAACGGGAGGAGCGUGCGGUUUAAUUGGAUUCAACGCCGGAAAACUCACCGGAGGCGACGGUUACAUGAAGGCCAGGCUGAUGACCUUGCCUGAUUUUCCGAGAGGUGGUGCAUGGCCGCCGUCAGUUCGUACCGUAAGGGGUUCCGGUUAAGUCAGAUAACGAACGAGACCCUCAUCCUUAAUUGCUACUAAUGACCUCGGUUGUUAGGCACAUUAAGGAGACCGCUGACGAUAAGUCAGAGGAAGGCGAGGGCAACGGUAGGUCAGUAUGCCCUGAAUCCUCCGGGCUACACGCGCGCUACAAAGGCCAGGACAAUGGGUUUCGACACCGAAAGGUGGAGGUAAUCCCGAAACCUGGUCAUAGUUCGGAUUGAGGGCUGAAACUCGCCCUCAUGAAGCUGGAUUCCGUAGUAAUCGCGGAUCAACAUCCCGCGGUGAAUAUGCCCCUGCUCCUUGCACACACCGCCCGUCAAACCAUGCGAGUUGGGUUCAAGUGAGGAUGUAGUAUUUUGCUGCGUUCAAACUUGGGCUUAGCAAGCGGGGUUAAGUCGCAACAA